UUACGACCAUAUCACGUUGAAACACCGGUUCCCGUACGAUCACCGAAGUUAAGCAACGUUGAGCCUGCUUAUUAACGAGAUGGGUGAUCGCUUGGGAAUACUAAGCUG